AUUCCAGCUCCAAUAGCGUAUAUUAAAGUUGUUGCAGUUAAAAAGCUCGUAGUUGGAUUUCUGGUAGGAGCGACCGUGCCGAACUUGAUUGUUCGUGUAUUGUGUUGUCUUCAGCCAUCCUCGUGGAGAACUUUUCUAACAUUAACUUGUUGGGAUUGGGACCCGCGUCGUUUACUGUGAAAAAAUUAGAGUGUUUAAAGCAGGCAUUAGCUUGAAUACAUUAGCAUGGAAUAAUAAGAUAGGACUUUGGUACUAUUUUGUUGGUUUGCAUACCAAAUUAAUGAUCAACAGGAACAGUUUGAGGAUAUUCGUAUGAACAUGUCAGAGGUGAAAUUCUUGGAUUUUGAUCAGACGAACCACUGCGAAAGCAUUUAUCAAGGAUGUUUUCAUCG
rnacentral:rRNA from 1 species